CUCAAGUAUGUCAGGGUGAUUAUGGGUGAUGGCUCCCGAUUUUGUUUUGAUUUUGGAGAUGAAUGUAGUUUGUCUAGUGUUCUCCAACAUUUUAGCUAAGAAUUUGCCACUUUUGCCCCCUGUGUGAAUAGUAAGUAUGUUUCGUCAGUAAGAGCUUCUUUUUGAUUCAUGUGUUAAGUAGUUGUUGCAGUGCGGAUCUCUGGGAAACUAGUUUUUUGCAUACAUAUAGAGAUUGAUUUUGUUUAUGUUGUUCCUCUAGGGUCCUGAUAUCGUGGAGCAGAUCAGUGAUUCGGGUGUUACAUUGUUUUUUAUUUUUAG